UGAAUACGAGAUGCUACGGCAUCGAAGCAGUCUAUGUCAUACUUCCAAGAAAAGCUUGCACUGUCAUAAACAAAUAAUGCCUGUACCAUAACCGACACAGGUGGGUAGGUAGAGUAUACUAAGGGGCGCGAGAUAACUCUCUCUAAGGAACUCGGCAAAAUGACUCCGUAACUUCGGGAGAAGGAGUGCCUUAUUUUAUAAGGUUGCAAUAACAAGAUCCAAGCAACUGUUUACCAAAAACACAGGUCUCCGCUAAGUCGUAAGACGAUGUAUGGGGGCUGACGCCUGCCCAGUGCCAGAAGGUUAAAGAAGUUGGUUAGCAUUAGCGAAGCUGAUAACUGAAGCCCUGGUGAACGGCGGCCGUAACAAUAACGGUCCUAAGGUAGCGAAAUUCCUUGUCGGGUAAGUUCCGACCCGCACGAAAGGCGUAAUGAUUUGGAUACUGUCUCGGAGAGGGGCUCGGUGAAAUAGACUUGUCUGUGAAGAUGCGGACUACCUGCACCAGGACAGAAAGACCCUAUGAAGCUUUACUGUAACUUGAGAUUGAAAUUGGACUUUAUUUGCGCAGUAUAGGUGGGAGACGUUGAAAAUAUUCUUGCGGGAAUAUUGGAGUCAUCAGUGAGAUACCACUCUUAUAAUGUUAGAUUUCUAACUUUUAUCAUUAUCUGGUCAAAGAACAGUCUCAGGCGGGCAGUUUGACUGGGGCGGUCGCCUCCCAAACGGUAACGGAGGCGCACAAAGGUUUCCUCUGAACGUGUAGAAAUCGUAUCUAGAGUGUAAAGGCAUAAGGAAGCUUGACUGUGAGACCUACAAGUCGAGCAGGGACGAAAGUCGGUCUUAGUGAUCUGACGGUGCUGAGUGGAAAGGCCGUCACUCAACGGAUAAAAGUUACUCUAAGGAUAACAGGCUGAUCUCCCCCAAGAGUUCACAUCGACGGGGAGGUUUGGCAUCUCGAUGUCGGCUCAUCGCAUCCUGGGGCGGUAGUACGUCCCAAGGGUUGGGCUGUUCGCCCAUGAAAGCGGUACGCGAGCUGGGUUCAGAACGUCGUGAGACAGUUCGGUCCAUAUCCGGUGUAGGCGUUAGAAUAUUGAGAGGAGCCUUCUUUAGUACGAGAGGACCGAGAAGGACAUACCUCUGGUGUACCAGUUAUCGUGCCAACGGUAAACGCUGGGUAGCUAUGUAUGGAGAGGAUAACCGCUGAAAGCAUCUAAGUGGGAAGCCCACCUCAAGAUAAGUAUUCU
rnacentral:rRNA from 1 species